GUCUUUUGCCUCUUGCAGUUCGCCCUCUGCCUUUCGUGCUUUCGCUUCUGCAUUAUUCUUCUCGUCUCCCUUUUUCUUUUCAAGCAUGCGUAAUUCGUGAUUCUUUUCCCUCAACGCCUUCUGAAGCUCUUCAUUCUUCCCCUUCUUCAAAUUUUGCAACUCUUCAUCCCUCGCCACGCUUGCUACCUCCAUCUCCUCUACCGUUUUUUCGAGCUCUUCGAUCCGUCUCGAUUUUUCUGUUUCGUCGACAUUUUUAUUUUUAAGCGCCCGUAGCUCAACUUCCUUUUUCUUUGACACCUUCCGAAUCUCUUCUUCCUUCUCCUUUUUGACCCUU
rnacentral:lncRNA from 1 species